AUGGACAUGGGGUCCCAGGCUCACCUCCUCUUUUUCCUGUUGCUCUGGAUCCCAGGAGAGAAAGUGACCAUGUCCUGCAAGGCCAGUCAGAGCAUUGGCACCAGCCUACACUGGUACCAACAGGAACCAGGCCAGGCUCCUAGGCUCCUCAUUACAUAUGCUUCCACCCUGCACGAUGGGGUCCCCUCAAGGUUCAGUGGCAGUGGCUCUGGGACAGAUUUCUCCCUCACAAUCAGCAGUGUGGAGGCUGAGGAUGCUGCAGUCUAUUACUGUCACCAGAGCUAUAGCUGGCCUCUCACAGUGCUACAGCUCUGA